GAUGAACGCUGGCGGCGUGCCUAAUACAUGCAAGUCGAGCGAACAGAUGAGGAGCUUGCUCCUCUGACGUUAGCGGCGGACGGGUGAGUAACACGUGGAUAACCUACCUAUAAGACUGGGAUAACUUCGGGAAACCGGAGCUAAUACCGGAUAAUAUAUUGAACCGCAUGGUUCAAUAGUGAAAGACGGUUUUGCUGUCACUUAUAGAUGGAUCCGCGCCGCAUUAGCUAGUUGGUAAGGUAACGGCUUACCAAGGCAACGAUGCGUAGCCGACGUGAGAGGGUGAUCGGCCACACGGGAGGUGAGACACGGUCCAGACUCCUACGGGAGGCAGCAGUAGGGAAUCUUCCGCAAUGGGCGAAAGCCUGGCGGAGCAACGCCGCGUGAGUGAUGAAGGUCUUCGGAUCGUAAAACUCUGUUAUUAGGGAAGAACAAAUGUGUAAGUAACUAUGCACGUCUUGACGGUACCUAAUCAGAAAGCCACGGCUAACUACGUG
rnacentral:rRNA from 1 species